GAUGAACGCUAGCGCCCGGCCUAACACAUGCAAGUCGAACGGUAACAUAAGUAGCAAUACUUGAUGACGACUGACCCACGGGUGCGUAACGGGUAUGCAAUCUACCUCUAACCGGUGAAUAGCCCGACGAAAUCCGGAGUAAUACACUAUAGUAUGAUGAGGAGGCAUCUCGUUAUCAUUUAAGUUCUGACUGGUAAAGAUGAGCAGGCGUGACAUUAGCUAGUUGGUAAGGUAACGGCUUACCAAGGCAACGAUGUUUAGGGGAGCGGAGAGGAUUAACCCCCACACUGGUACUGAGACAGGGACCAGAGUCCUACGGGAGGCAGCAGUAAGGAAUCUUGUACAAUGGUGGCGACACUUAUCAGGCCAUGCCGCGUGAAGGAUGAAGGCCCUAUGGGUUGUAAACUUCUUUUGUACGGGAAAAAACCUUCUUACGUGUAAGAAGCUGAUUGUACUGUAAGAAUAAGGAUCGGCUAACUCCGUGCCAGCCGCCGCGGUAACAC
rnacentral:rRNA from 1 species